CAGUAGCCACGGUAAUACGGAGGGUGCAAGCGUUAUCCGGAUUUAUUGGGUUUAAAGGGUCCGUAGGCGGAUCUGUAAGUCAGUGGUGAAAUCUCACAGCUUAACUGUGAAACUGCCAUUGAUACUGCAGGUCUUGAGUAAAUUUGAAGUGGCUGGAAUAAGUAGUGUAGCGGUGAAAUGCAUAGAUAUUACUUAGAACACCAAUUGCGAAGGCAGGUAACUAAGAUUUAACUGACGCUGAUGGACGAAAGCGUGGGGAGCGAACAGGAUUAGAGACCCCCGUAGUCCCUGUCUCUUAUAC
rnacentral:rRNA from 1 species